AACGAACGCUGGCGGCAGGCUUAACACAUGCAAGUCGAGCGCCCCGCAAGGGGAGCGGCAGACGGGUGAGUAACGCGUGGGAAUCUACCCAUCUCUACGGAAUAACGCAUGGAAACGUGUGCUAAUACCGUAUACGUCCUUCGGGAGAAAGAUUUAUCGGAGACGGAUGAGCCCGCGUUGGAUAAGCUAGUUGGUGGGGUAAAGGCCUACCAAGGCGACGAUCCAUAGCUGUUCUGAGAGGAUGAUCAGCCACACUGGGACUGAGACACGGCCCAGCCUCCUACGGGAGGCAGCAGUGGGGAAUAUUGGACAAUGGGCGCAAGCCUGAUCCAGCCAUGCCGCGUGAGUGAUGAAGGCCCUAGGGUUGUAAAGCUCUUUCACCGGUGAAGAUAAUGACGGUAACCGGAGAAGAAGCCCCGGCUAACUUCGUGCCAGCCGCCGCCGUAAUAC
rnacentral:rRNA from 1 species